ACGGUCCUAAGGUAGCGAAAUUCCUUGUCGGGUAAGUUCCGACCUGCACGAAUGGCAUAAUGAUGGCCAGGCUGUCUCCACCCGAGACUCAGUGAAAUUGAAAUCGCCGUGAAGAUGCGGUGUACCCGCGGCUAGACGGAAAGACCCCGUGAACCUUUACUAUAGCUUGACACUGAACAUUGAAUUUUGAUGUGUAGGAUAGGUGGGAGACUUUGAAGUAGUCACGCCAGUGAUUAUGGAGUCGUCCUUGAAAUACCACCCUUUAACGUUUGAUGUUCUAACGAAGAUUACGAAACGUGGUCUCGGACAGUGUCUGGUGGGUAGUUUGACUGGGGCGGUCUCCUCCCAAAGAGUAACGGAGGAGCACGAAGGUUUGCUAAUCACGGUCGGACAUCGUGAGGUUAGUGCAAUGGUAUAAGCAAGCUUAACUGCGAGACAGACAAGUCGAGCAGGUACGAAAGUAGGUCAUAGUGAUCCGGUGGUUCUGUAUGGAAGGGCCAUCGCUCAACGGAUAAAAGGUACUCCGGGGAUAACAGGCUGAUACCGCCCAAGAGUUCAUAUCGACGGCGGUGUUUGGCACCUCGAUGUCGGCUCAUCACAUCCUGGGGCUGAAGUAGGUCCCAAGGGUAUGGCUGUUCGCCAUUUAAAGUGGUACGCGAGCUGGGUUUAGAACGUCGUGAGACAGUUCGGUCCCUAUCUGCCGUGGGCGUUGGAGAAUUGAUUGGGGCUGCUCCUAGUACGAGAGGACCGGAGUGGACGCAUCACUGGUGUUCCGGUUGUGUCGCCAGACGCAUUGCCGGGUAGCUACAUGCGGAAGAGAUAAGUGCUGAAAGCAUCUAAGCACGAAACUUGCCAAGAGAUGAGUUCUCCCACACAUAAAGUGUGUAAGGGUUGUUUAAGACUAAGACGUAGAUAGGUGCGGUGUGUAAGUGUAGUGAUACAUUGAGCUAACGCAUACUAAUUGCCCGAGAGGCUUAGCCAU
rnacentral:rRNA from 1 species